CAUAACCAUCCAUGUUUAGGUUCUCAACAAAAGGAAAUAAAAAGACUAAAAGCUGAUCAACUAAUCCCAACAAGCAUCUAACUCCAGGAUGCUCCUUAGACCGGUCACUCUCCACUAAAUCAUCUCCUCAUCAGGUAGGUUAUAUCGUAUUCCCGGAAGGAAAAUCAUCUCGGCGAGGUAGAUCGGGGUUGUCAUCUGGUUCAAAAGUAAGGGUCAUCUCCAACUAACAAACAUAGUACAAAUAUUCAUGCAGACAUAUAUUUCAACAAAUAACCAAAAAUAAUUAAAUAAUUGGAUAGUUUGUACAAACAUUACUCAAUUUCUUAGUCACCACUCUUAGCCUUAAGUUACAACUUGACUAAAGUGUGUUAGUCCCUAAUGGUCAGUCUAUAUGCAAUGCUCAUGAUCCGGAUUUCACCUCUAAACGGAGCCAAAUGUCCAACCAUUGGACAAUAUACCCCACCAUUGGGUAAUAACACCUAAAAAUUCGAUGUUCAGUACCCCACCAUUGGACAUUAUUCUGAAUCAUCUAAUGCAUAUGAAUCGUCACUACCCCACCGUUGGGUAAUAACUCCUAAAACUCGAUGUUUAGUACCCCACCGUAGGGUAUUUGUCUGAGUCAUCUAAUGCAUGAAUGUCUCCGUAAAUACCCCACCAUUGGGUAAUAACUCCUUAAUUCUAAAUCUAGUAUCCCACCAUUGGAUAUAGUUAAAAAUCACCAUUUAGCUACUUAAGGUUAUUCAUCCAUAAACAAAGAGUAUUUAUGUUAAAAUAACACCACACAAAUAAUAACACAUAAUAUUCAUACCAAAGCAAACCACCAAGAUAAUUAUCACAACACCAAUAUAUAACACAUAAUCAUUCAUUUCUAAACAACAUCAUUAUGAUAAUUAUCACAACACAAUUAUACACACAUAUACACGUACGGAAGCGCGUGGAGUGAUGCCCUUACCUUCGUAAUAACCGUCGUUAAACUCCUCAAGCGGUGGUCUUUGUUCUCCUACCUCUGUACCUUCACAAUUAAAUAUUUACUCACUUAGUUUCAAUUUCAAUUACUACUGUCAAGGCUUGGGUUGCAUUAAAAUAUGACUUACUACCUCUUCAUUCUUUCUGAUAUCUAUAUACGGCCUCUUUUUAUUUUACCCCUUUUUUUUUUGUUAGCAUGGUGCAGUUCAGCUUAAUCUACAACCUGCCUAAUUCAUUUUACUUGAAUUCAAAAAGAACCUUCUAUUUUUAUCUAAUAGCUCAGUACACUUUAGGCUUGGCCUUUCAAAAUUGGAAUAAGGUUCAUGGUUAAGAUAACUAAUGCAUAGAGUAUUAGGAUCACCAUCAGAGAACAAUUAAGGUAAAACUAUGCUACACUAAUUAUUAAUAGGCCAUAUAAUUGAGACUUCAAGUUAAGGGUUGAUUCAAAUUUACCAUACUACCUCUGUCAUCAGGUCUCUUCCUAUUUACAACAUCUCAAUUUACAUUUAUUCUACAUUUCUACUCCACUAACGGUCCUUUCAUCUCUACAAAACAAUUCUUUCUCUUAAUUAUGGUUUCUAUCCUAAACAAUUACCCAAUUCUCUUAAUACUAAACCAGAACAGAAGAAGAGAGACAUGACAUAAUUUAAUUCUCUAUAACCACAAUAAUAACAAAGGAUAGUGAGAGGGAAGAUGUUCUUACUUGUCUACGCAAAGUGAAUUUUUGUUCUCUUUUCUUUCUCCUUCAGACUCUACGUACCCUUUCUCUCUAUUUCUCUAUGUAACCCGUUUUUUUUUAUUAUGUUUCUAAGGAGUGGAAUGAGUGGGUGAGUUGAAAGAGUUAACCAAAUAAUUAGGAAGGGAGGUUGAAAUUUAAUUCUCAAUUG
rnacentral:lncRNA from 1 species